rnacentral:ribozyme from 14 species
UUUUUUUUUUUUUUUUUUUUUCCUCACACUUUACCUGUUUUUUCUAUUACUGACUGUUAUUUCUAAAAGAAAAGGAAAA